UAAACGACUCUCGGCAACGGAUAUCUUGGCUCUCGCAUCGAUGAAGAACGUAGCGAAAUGCGAUACUUGGUGUGAAUUGCAGAAUCCCGUGAACCAUCGAGUUUUUGAACGCAAGUUGCGCCCGAAGCCUUUGGCCAGGGCACGUCUGCCUGGGCGUCACGCA
rnacentral:rRNA from 3 species